rnacentral:lncRNA from 1 species
AGUCACAUGUUAUAGUUCAUAAGUCAAAGGCACCAUUCACAAAUCACUGAUUAUAUUGUGUAUGUCACAGAUGUUCAUAGGUCACUUGUUAUAGUUGAUGGGUCAAUAUUAAUUGUCAUAAGUAACCGUUCAUAAGUAAUAUAUCAAUAUCUACAUGUCGCAUAUCUAAGAAAAGUGGUUACAGGUCAUUGGAACAAUAUUAAAGGCAACAAAUCAAUGUAAAGUCAAGAGAAUUGAUCACAUGCCGUUGAUUUCUCCGAAUUUGUCACAAAUUCAAUUAACUAGUCUUCGACAAUAAAAAUUGAAGUUAUUUGAUCCAGUAAGUACUCUUUAUAUUACAUUACUGUCUGUUUUCAAUUCCACUUUAAAAAAAUAGAUUCAAAUUACACCAACGCUACUCAGUCGUUGAUGUUCUUCAAUGAUUGCUAUGUUUCUUCCUUUCUCUCUUUAAUAUUUGAGCUAACUAUGAUUAGUUAUCGAUGAACGAUGAUCAAUUUGUCGCUAAAAAAGUUGCUCAGUCAUCGACGAUAUUUGUAAAUUCUAUCUUUUGCCCAACGAAGUUAUUUAAAUGUCGAUGAUUAUGAGAGUGGAUGCUGGCGAGUGAAUGUUGAUGACAGGUUGAUGCUGACGACUG